CUCGGAGUCGAGAGGCGAGACUAGAGACGAGACUCGAGAGGAUUUUUCCAGUUUGCUUAGGACAGGUGUGAAGUGUGGGGUGUAUGUAGUUGACUAGGAUUCGUUUUACUUGGUGUUUUUUUCCACAUCGCCGUUGUGUAUGGAUAACUAAGAAUGGCUUGGGUUGCAUCGAAUACCUACUUUAGAGAUGUACGAAACCAAUUGACCGGACUUUCACUUAUCAUCAAACUGUUGAAAUUGCAGCGCGAUAGGACAGGAGUGUCAACCACUGAACAUGCAGAUCGGUUCUUAACUACUAGUACUUUCUGAGUGAAACGAAUGACUGCAGUCUAGCAAAUUCGAAGUGUUGUGAUGUUGUACAAAGCAGAAAUUCUACAAAUGACAAGUGGAAUCUUAGGACAUCUAAUCAAAUGCUUCAAGAUUCUACCAUGGCUGACUUUCUUCAAUCCCAUUUUUUUUUAAUUUAUUCAGAUACAUACCAGCUAUCAGGUAAUUAAAUAGUAUGGAUCAAAAUAUCUUUAAUUUCUCAUCAGCUUAAUUAAUAGCAGUUAUCACUUAGUUUUAUAUACUUCACAGGUUUUGCUUAAAUUUUACAUGAGUUUAAUAGCUGCUAUUACAUUGCUAUUUUUCUCUGGCAUGAUACAUAAUUUUCACUUCAAUCUUGCACCAAUGAAAUGUGUUAAAAGGAUAGUUCAGUAUAUUUUGGGACAUGUAUUGGCUAUGUACCUUGUUGGUUUGUUUUCAGCCAGCAGGUGGAUGUAUUAUCAGUAUUCUUAAGUUUUACUCUCUGCCAUCAGGUGGCUGUAUGCUUCAGGGUACAUAAUUCAUUAUCUAAAUAUCUUAGUCAUUUUAAUAGCUACACCAAUAUUGAGCACAUUUUGUAUCAUGAGGCUACAGAACAUUUUCCCUUGAGAAUUUUAGGUCAGUGUCAUUUGUUGCUCCUAAUAUUGCUGUAAUAUCAACAAGUCCAGUAAACUUAAUCUUACUUGUAUACCAUAUCAGGAUUUGUACUGUCAUUUGUUUGACAUAUUCUUUAGUCAUUUUUUAAUGGUUAGGUAAUUUAUUGUUCCCUGUAUAGGUUUUACUUUGUUCACAUGCUCAGUAAUUCAAUACUGUAAUUAUUUGGAAACCAUGAUUUUUGUCCAAGUUGAUGCUUGGUUAAUAGUAGGAAAUCUUGAAAUUUUAGUUUUUAUGGAGACCACACUAGCUUUUGUGAAAUUCUCACUAUCUGUUAGCUAGUAGGUUAUUAAUAAUGAAUAGGUUUUACUGAGGUUUUAUCAAUAUUUCUUUGAGGUAGAGAUGAUCAAGUUAUUUAGAACCUGCAUAAGCUAGUUAAAAAUUCUUGGCUCCAUUUACACAUGAAGAUGAUAUUGUUAAACUACAAUAAAGUUUUGUACAUACUUACCUGGCAGAUAUAUACUUAGCUAUAGUCUCCGACGUUCCCGACAGAAUUUCAAAUCUCGCGGCACACGCGACAGGUAGGUCAGGUGGUCUACCUUACCCGCCGCUGGGUGGCGGAUGUACGAACCACUCCCGUUUGCUUGUCAGAUUUUUCUCUUCCACCU